rfam:Oryza meridionalis cultivar OR44 (W2112) chromosome 8, whole genome shotgun sequence.
ACUCUCUCCAUCCAUUAGGUUUUCGUUUCUAACGUUUGAUCAUCCCUCUUAUUUAAUUUUUUUUAUAAUUAGCAUUUUUAUUUUUGUUAGAUGAAACAUAAAUAAUAUUUUAUACGUGACUUAAUUUUUUUAAAAAAUAUAUAUUUUUCUCAAAUAAGACGGACGGUCAAGUUUUAGAUACAGAAAUCUACAGCUGCACUUAAA